rnacentral:rRNA from 1 species
GACGAACGCUGGCGGCGUGCUUAACACAUGCAAGUCGAACGCUGAAGACCUGGCUUUUGUUGGGUUGGAUGAGUGGCGAACGGGUGAGUAACACGUGAGUAACCUGCCCUCUUCUUUGGGAUAACGCCCGGAAACGGGUGCUAAUACUGGAUAUUCACUGGCCUUCGCAUGGGGGUUGGUGGGAAGGUUUGUUCUGGUGGGGGAUGGGCUCGCGGCCUAUCAGCUUGUUGGUGGGGUGAUGGCCUACCAAGGCUUUGACGGGUAGCCGGCCUGAGAGGGUGACCGGUCACAUUGGGACUGAGAUACGGCCCAGACUCCUACGGGAGGCAGCAGUGGGGAAUAUUGCACAAUGGGCGAAGGCCUGAUGCAGCGACGCCGCGUGAGGGAGGGAGGCCUUCGGGGUGUAAACCUCUUUCGCUCAUGGUCAAGCCGCAACUGUGGGUUGUGGUGAGGGUAGUGGGUAAAGAAGCGCCGGCUAACUACGUG